CAAGUCGAACGCGGUUUCCUCGCAAGGGGAAACUGAGUGGCGAACGGGUGAGUAACACGUGGGUGACCUACCUUCGAGUGGGGGAUAACGUCCCGAAAGGGACGCUAAUACCGCAUGACAUCCCGCCUUUGAACAGGCGGUGAUCAAAGCCGGGGAUCGUAAGACCCGGCGCUUGAUGAGGGGCCCGCGUCCGAUUAGCUAGUUGGUGAGGUAAUGGCCCACCAAGGCAACGAUCGGUAUCCGGCCUGAGAGGGCGGACGGACACACUGGGACUGAGACACGGCCCAGACUCCUACGGGAGGCAGCAGUGGGGAAUUGUUCGCAAUGGGCGCAAGCCUGACGACGCAAUGCCGCGUGGAGGAUGAAGGUCUUCGGAUUGUAAACUCCUGUUGCCAGGGACGAAUGGCUUCGACCUAAUACGUCGAAGUAUGACGGUACCUGGUGAGGAAGCCCCGGCUAACUCUGUGCCAGCAGCCGCGGUAAUACAGAGGGGGCGAGCGUUGUUCGGAAUUACUGGGCGUAAAGGGCGCGUAGGCGGCCCGCUAAGUCGAACGUGAAAUCCCCAGGCUCAACCUGGGAACUGCGUCCGAUACUGGCAGGCUUGAAUCCGGGAGAGGGAUGUGGAAUUCCAGGUGUAGCGGUGAAAUGCGUAGAUAUCUGGAGGAACACCGGUGGCGAAGGCGGCAUCCUGGACCGGUAUUGACGCUGAGGCGCGAAAGCUAGGGGAGCAAACGGGAUUAGAUACCCCGGUAGUCCUAGCCCUAAACGAUGAUGCUUGGUGUGGCGGGUAUCGAUCCCUGCCGUGCCGAAGCCAACGCAUUUAAGCAUUCCGCCUGGGGAGUACGGUC
rnacentral:rRNA from 1 species